AUUUGUUGAUCUACUAGAAUUUGGUGUUGAUGCACUUGGAAGUCAUUAGAAUUAGGGUUGCUAAUGAAAAAGUUAUUGGAAUCUAAUCUAACCGCCAUACCCAAGAUUGCAUAUUGUCCAUAUUUCCAUUUUGAACACACAUGCUCCUUUAAUCCCCUCCUCAUACCUUGUUUUCAUUCUUCUUUCAUUGUCUCUCUCAUCGUUAAUGCUUGUUGAACUCAUUUGUUUCUAUUUUAUCUAAAAUUGUACUCUUUUG
rnacentral:misc_RNA from 1 species